UACGAAGGGAGCUAGCGUUAUCCGGAAUGAUUGGGCGUAAAGCGUCCGCAGGUGGCUAUGUAAGUCUGCUGUUAAAGAGUGAGGCUCAACCUCAUAAGAGCAGUGGAAACUACAUAGCUAGAGUGCGUUCGGGGCAGAGGGAAUUCCUGGUGUAGCGGUGAAAUGCGUAGAUAUCAGGAAGAACACCGGUGGCGAAAGCGCUCUGCUAGGCCGCAACUGACACUGAGGGACGAAAGCUAGGGGAGCGAAUGGG
rnacentral:rRNA from 1 species